AUGUAGAGCUGCAGAGAAUCACAGGAUAAGAUCACCUCUAUGUGACACAGUGACUCACUGAGCUGGACGAGAAGUGAAGUCCAGGGAAGGAUUUGAAAAGAUAAAGGCUGUAGUCCAGAACUACGAGAAUGUGUGUAGCGCAGCCCUUGCAAACGGAAGGCAACAAGCAGAGAAAGAAGCUCUUUGAGUAGAAGGAGAUGCCUAGCGUCAUAAACGCUGCUAUUGACAUGAAGCUUCUUCAAGGGUCGGCUCCAUUCAGUGUGAAAGAAGACCACAUAAGAGGAUGAAUACAUGGAAAUCAAAAUCAAUGGGAACCAUCUUGGAGGCUGGCCUUCAUAAGAGUCAACAUGAUGAGGCAGGGAGCACGUGACCAUGGGAUCCACUGAUUUUGUGAUUUACAAUAUUCCACAAAAGUAUAGAUCCACAUUGAUAGAGUGAUGGAAUGGUCUUUUGA
rnacentral:lncRNA from 1 species